UACGUAGGGGGCAAGCGUUGUCCGGAAUUAUUGGGCGUAAAGGGCUCGUAGGCGGUCCGUCACGUCGGGAGUGAAAACUCAGGGCUCAACCCUGAGCGUGCUUCCGAUACGGGCGGACUAGAGGUAUGCAGGGGAGAACGGAAUUCCUGGUGUAGCGGUGGAAUGCGCAGAUAUCAGGAGGAACGCCGGUGGCGAAGGCGGUUCUCUGGGCAUUACCUGACGCUGAGGAGCGAAAGCAUGGGGAGCGAACAGG
rnacentral:rRNA from 1 species